rnacentral:rRNA from 1 species
AGAGUUUGAUCCUGGCUCAGGAUGAACGCUAGCGGCAGGCUUAAUACAUGCAAGUCGAGGGGCAGCACAGGGUAGCAAUACCUGGGUGGCGACCGGCAAACGGGUGCGGAACACGUACAGAACCUACCUUCGAGCGGGGGAUAGCCCAGAGAAAUUUGGAUUAAUACCCCAUAGUAUAUUUGGAUGGCAUCAUUUGAAUAUUAAAGAUUUAUCACCUGAAGAUGGCUGUGCGUAUGAUUAGGUAGUUGGCGGGGUAACGGCCCACCAAGCCUACGAUCAUUAACUGGUGUGAGAGCACGACCAGUCACACGGGCACUGAGACACGGGCCCGACUCCUACGGGAGGCAGCAGUAAGGAAUAUUGGUCAAUGGACGCAAGUCUGAACCAGCCAUGCCGCGUGGAGGAUGAAGGUCCUCUGGAUUGUAAACUUCUUUUAUCUGGGACGAAAAAAGGGAAUUCUUUCUCGUCUGACGGUACCAGAUGAAUAAGCACCGGCUAACUCCGUGCCAGCAGCCGCGGUAAUACGGAGGGUGCAAGCGUUAUCCGGAUUCACUGGGUUUAAAGGGUGCGUAGGCGGGUAUGUAAGUCCGUGGUGAAAUCUCCGAGCUUAACUCGGAAACUGCCAUGGGUACUGCGUAUCUUGAAUGUUGUGGAGGUGAGCGGAAUAUGUCAUGUAGCGGUGAAAUGCUUAGAUAUGACAUAGAACACCAAUUGCGAAGGCAGCUCACUACACAAAUAUUGACGCUGAGGCACGAAAGCGUGGGGAUCAAACAGGAUUAGAUACCCUGGUAGUCCACGCC